rnacentral:rRNA from 1 species
UACGGGGGGGAGCAAGCGUUGUUCGGAUUUACUGGGCGUAAAGGGCGCGUAGGCGGCCACCGCAAGUCGGUUGUGAAAUCUCCGGGCUUAACCCGGAAAGGUCAAUCGAUACUGCGGGGCUAGAGUGCAGAAGGGGCAACUGGAAUUCUUGGUGUAGCGGUGAAAUGCGUAGAUAUCAAGAGGAACACCUGCGGCGAAGGCGGGUUGCUGGGCUGACACUGACGCUGAAGCGCGAAAGCGUGGGGAGCAAACAGG